UCAACUCUUCGCAUGAGGUGGCCAAAGUACUGGAGUUUCAGCUUUAGCAUCAUUCCUUCCAAAGAAAUCCCAGGGCUGAUCUCCUUCAGAAGGGACUGGUUCUACUUACUAUUUAUCACCACUAGAGGGCAUCUGAAAACUGAGCUAAGUACAACGUAAUGCGUCCUCUACAUCAGGAAUUUGUUUCUGGCAAGAGCUGCGAUCUCCAGUUGAGACAGGCUGCAGAGAAGGCAAGCCAGAGCUUUCCCUGACUGUGACAGUGAUUAAGUGGAAUCACACUGGGUGGAAAUGCCACACGCAUGCUGCAGGAUUCCUGUUCGUCCAGGUGACACAGGAGAGGACCGAGGAAUGCGUGACCUCAUGCCACUGUCUGCGAGGGAGCAACAGAGGCCAUGACUAUGUCCUGAGCCCACGGCUUCGGGAACUUGAUCUAUAAAAGCAAGGAGGGGGUUAAGCUUCACCUAGAAAAUGUUGGUGGUAGUAGGCAUCCUGCUGGGCUGUUGUUUAUUCUUUGUCUCAACACUCCUUUAGA